AGAGGUGGCAAGCGUUGUUCGGAAUUACUGGGCGUAAAGGGCGCGUAGGCGGCCCGCCAAGUCCCGUGUGAAAGCCCCCGGCUCAACCGGGGAACGGCGCGGGAAACUAGCAGGCUUGAGUUCGGGAGAGGGAGGCGGAAUUCCGGGUGUAGCGGUGAAAUGCGCAGAUAUCCGGAGGAACACCGGUGGCGAAGGCGGCCUCCUGGACCGACACUGACGCUGAGGCGCGAAAGCUAGGGGAGCAAACGGGAUUAGAUACCCCGGUAGUCCUGGCCCUAAACGAUGAGCACUGGGUGUAGAGGGUAUGAACCCCUUCUGUGCCGAAGCUAACGCAUUAAGUGCUCCGCCUGGGGAGUACGGUCGCAAGGCUG
rnacentral:rRNA from 1 species